rnacentral:rRNA from 1 species
UGGGGAAUUUUGGACAAUGGGCGCAAGCCUGAUCCAGCCAUGCCGCGUGCAGGAUGAAGGCCUUCGGGUUGUAAACUGCUUUUGUACGGAACGAAAAGACUCUGGUUAAUACCUGGGGUCCAUGACGGUACCGUAAGAAUAAGCACCGGCUAACUACGUGCCAGCAGCCGCGGUAAUACGUAGGGUGCGAGCGUUAAUCGGAAUUACUGGGCGUAAAGCGUGCGCAGGCGGUUAUAUAAGACAGAUGUGAAAUCCCCGGGCUCAACCUGGGAACUGCAUUUGUGACUGUAUAGCUAGAGUACGGCAGAGGGGGAUGGAAUUCCGCGCGUAGCAGUGAAAUGCGUAGAUAUGCGGAGGAACACCGAUGGCGAAGGCAAUCCCCUGGGCCUGUACUGACGCUCAUGCACGAAAGCGUGGGGAGCAAACAGGAUUAGAUACCCACGUAGUCCCUGAGCGGGCUGGCAAGGCGCAU